rnacentral:rRNA from 1 species
GAUGAACGCUGGCGGCGUGCCUAACACAUGCAAGUCGAACGAAGCACUUCGAUUUCUUCGGAAUGAAAAAGUGACUGAGUGGCGGACGGGUGAGUAACGCGCGGGUAACCUGCCUCAUACAGGGGGAUAACAGUUAGAAAUGACUGCUAAUACCGCAUAAGCGCACAGUAUCGCAUGAUACAGUGUGAAAAACUCCGGUGGUAUGAGAUGGACCCGCGUCUGGUUAGCUAGUUGGUGAGGUAAUGGCUCACCAAGGCGACGAUCAGUAGCCGGCGUUGGAGGGUGAUCGGCCACAUUGGGACUGGAAAACGGCUCUAACUCAUACGGGAGGCAGCAGUGGGGAAUAUUGCACAAUGUGGGAAACCUUGAUGCAUCAACGCCGCGUGAAGGAAGACGUAUUUCGGUAUGUAAACUUCUAUCAGCAAGGAAGAUGAUGACGGUACUUGACUAAGAAGCCCCGGCUAACUACGUGCCAGCCGCCGCGGUAACAC